rnacentral:rRNA from 1 species
AUUGAACGCUGGCGGCAGGCCUAACACAUGCAAGUCGAGCGGAGCGGCGGACGGGUGAGUAAUGCAUAGGUAUCUGACUGGUAGUGAGGGAUAGCGUCAGGUAACGGGAGCGAAUACCAAAUACUAUCAGAUGAGCCUAGGUCGGAUUAGCUAGUUGGUGGGGUAAAGGCUUAACAAGGCGACGAUCCGUAACUGGUCUGAGAGGGUGACCAGUCACACUGGAACUGAGACACGGUCCAUACUCCUACGGGAGGCAGCAGUGGGGAAUAUUGGACAAUGGGCGAAAGCCUGAUCCAGCCAUGCCGCGUGUGUGAAGAAGGUCUUCGGAUUGUAAAGCACUUUAAGUUGGGAAGCGUUACCAACAGAAUAAGCCCCGGCUAACUUCGUGCCAGCAGCCGCGGUAAUUC